rnacentral:rRNA from 1 species
AGAGUUUGAUUCUGGCUCAGGACGAACGCUGGCGGCGUGCUUAACACAUGCAAGUCGAACGGAGCACCCCAGAAGGAGUUUUCGGACAACGGAUGGGAAUGCUUAGUGGCGGACUGGUGAGUAACGCGUGAGGAACCUGCCUUCCAGAGGGGGACAACAGUUGGAAACGACUGCUAAUACCGCAUGAUGCGUUGGAGCCGCAUGACUCCGACGUCAAAGAUUUAUCGCUGGAAGAUGGCCUCGCGUCUGAUUAGCUAGUUGGUGAGGUAACGGCCCACCAAGGCGACGAUCAGUAGCCGGACUGAGAGGUUGGCCGGCCACAUUGGGACUGAGAUACGGCCCAGACUCCUACGGGAGGCAGCAGUGGGGAAUAUUGGGCAAUGGACGCAAGUCUGACCCAGCAACGCCGCGUGAAGGAAGAAGGCUUUCGGGUUGUAAACUUCUUUUAAGGGGGAAGAGCAGAAGACGGUACCCCUUGAAUAAGCCACGGCUAACUACGUGCCAGCAGCCGCGGUAAUACGUAAGUGGCAAGCGUU